CUCCAAUUCAUCACCCUCCAGCUCACCCAUGGCAUUUUGCGAUAUCCCUUUUCAAUUUCUUGUUUUUUUAAUUUUUUUUAUUAUUCAGCAUUUUUUGAGAAAACAGCAGAAUACAGUAUAUGAAAGCAAAGCCGAUGCAGGGAAAAAAAGAAAGGCGACAUACAUGAUACCUUAGCUGUUAAUUUACGGGAAUCCUUCCAUAGUCUAUAUCGUCUCCCUCAUGCCGAACCAGUUUUCCUUCCAGUCUUCUGGCCAUUUUAUAGUAAUUUGCU